UCUCCUGACCUCGUGAUCCGCCUGCCUCGGCCUCCCAAAGUGCUGGGAUUACAGGCGUGAGCCACUGCACCUCGCCUCAUUCUUGUUUCUCAACUGCAGAACUUUAAUUCCUCUGGGAAAUGCAAGUUUAUCUCUGCCUCCCGGCAAACUGAACCAGAACAUACAUUCUGGCUUACCUCACCCUUUAAGUUUCCAUUGUCCCAGGUGAUGCUCCUCUGCUAUUACCCUUAUUUACCACACCAUUUAACACUUAUUUACUCAACACCAGAUUGACUGAGCAGUUCAUCUAAUUUCUUUCUGCAAUGAGCUUGGCAUCACAAGUGCCACCACAGAAAUAACUGGCAUUAUUAUUGCCUCCUCAACUUACCACCACCUGUCUCUGGAACUGACUCACAAAAUAGAAACCACUGCUCCAACUCUGAGUCACAGCAACAAGUUCUCUCAUGGUUGUAGUUCUCCAAAGUUGUAGAGGUCUUGACAUACCAGCUGUAGCUCACAGAGGAAUUUGCCUUAUUCUAGGAGAAAAAUGCUGUUUCUGGGUUAACAGAAUAGGGAAAGGCCAGAAUUAAGUUAGAGAUUUUAUAAACUAAGCCAUCCUAAACAUGCCACUGAGAGCUAGUUCUCCUAGGAUGCCAACUGGUUCCAAUUCUCAUGACAUCUCAUUUUCUUGGGAUCUCUGGCCUUGUUCUUAUCUGUUUGUUUGUUUGUUUGUUUUUCCCCCAUCCUUUUUGGGCCUUGUUCACUAAAUCUAGUAACCAGGUUUGUUUUCUCUCACCUCAGACUACAAGCAGUCCUGCAACAGGAACACUGAUCUAUCUUCUUCCCUUCUGGACAACCAUGUUCCUCCACAUUUCCUCUGGACACUGCAAGUUGAACCUUCUGGGGAAACAUAGAAGGUUUCUUGGUGUCAGUGUAUGGUGUGUUUGGUUUUACCUGGGAGUGGUGAUUUUGGAUGUCAGUGAUUCUGGAUGUCAAUUUGGAACUCUCUAGAAACACUGCAGUCUUGCUCUGUUGCCCAGGCUGGAAUCCAGUGGCAUGAUCUUGACUCAUUGCAACCUCUGCAUAAGGAAGAAAUUGCUAGUGAUCUGUUUGACAGGAGUUAACAUCCAUUCCAUUAUCUUUUUAGAUGUAUCAUUGUCAAGUCGGAAUGGCAAUAAAAAUGCCUUUCAACAGUUGAACAUAACGUCCACCUUUGGCUCAGUCACACAGACAAAGACCCAGAAUCUGUGUUUCUCAGCUGUGGUGCCUGUGCAAAUGCUGGAACUCAAAGAAUAUUCAGUGGUAGACACACAGACACUGCCUAAUAAAAUUAUGUAUGAUUAAGUUUAAUAUAAAUGGAAUUUAUAUUGUCAUGUAAAAUGUUACUUAAUUUUAUAAGAAAACUGAGUUGAUUUUCUAAAGGUAUUAAAUGCAAUUUUAAUAGGAAACCAUGAAAUAUGUGUGCACUUGGUGUAUAAAUGACUGAAUUUUCGGCAAUUCAGUAAAGGUCAUGUCAGGCCUCUGAGCCCAAGCCUGUACGUAUACAUCCAGAUGGCCUGAAGCAAGUGAAGA